UUAUAUAAAAGGAGCGUCAAAGCUCCACUAGGAGAUCGGGGUGCGGAACAUUAGUUAGUUGGUGAGGUAAUGGCUCACCAAGACUAUGAUGUUUAACGGGGUUGAGAGACUGAUCCGUCACACUGGGACUGAGAUACGGCCCAGACUCCUACGGGAGGCAGCAGUAGGGAAUUUUCCACAAUGGGCGAAAGCCUGAUGGAGCGACACAGCGUGCAGGAUGAAGGCCUUCGGGUUGUAAACUGCUGUUAUUUAGGAUGAAAAAAUAGUAGAGGAAAUGCUAUUAUCUUGACAGUACUAAAUCAGAAAGCAACGGCUAACUAUGUGCCAGCAGCCGCGGUAAUACAUAGGUUGCAAGCGUUAUCCGGAAUUAUUGGGCGUAAAGCGUCUGUAGGUUGUUUGUUAAGUCUGGCGUCAAAACUUGGGGCUCAACCCCAAAUCGCGUUGGAUACUGACACACUAGAAUUGUGUAGAGGUUAACGGAAUUCCUUGUGAAGCGGUGAAAUGCGUAGAUAUAAGGAAGAACAUCAACUUGGCGAAGGCAGUUAACUGGGCACAUAUUGACACUGAGAGACGAAAGCGUGGGGAGCAAACAGGAUUAGAUACCCUGGUAGUCCACGCCGUAAACGAUGAUGAUUAGCUGAUGGAAACCAUCGGCGCAGCUAACGCAUUAAAUCAUCCGCCUGAGUAGUAUGCUCGCAAGAGUGAAACUUAAAGGAAUUGACGGGGAUCCGCACAAGCGGUGGAGCAUGUGGUUUAAUUUGAAGAUACGCGUAGAACAUUAC
rnacentral:rRNA from 1 species